rnacentral:lncRNA from 1 species
AGUGACAGAAUUAGAAAGAGAUUUCAUAUUUUCUUUCUAAAAUUUACAUCAUUAAUUUUUAUUCUAGAAGUGCUUACUUUGGUUCUGUAUAUGUUCAUGCUCAUCACGCAUACAUGUGGAAACUCAUGUUAUUGCUGUUUACUUUCUGCUCCCCAAUGUAAUAAGUGUGGUAUGCUUCAAAUGCAUACUUGUGGAAACACAUCGUGUGCUUUUUUUUUUCUUCUUCUUGUAUCAAUAACUUUCAACACAUCAAUAUAAGAUGUGCGUGUGUGUUAGUUUCUUUUCUUUUCUUAUAAUGUGAUGUUAUAAAUAUGUGACCCUAUCUGUUUUUUAUUUAUUUUGAAAGGACCCUAUCUGCUUUCUAUUUAGUGGGAUUAAUUUUCUUUUUUAAGCACUAAUCGUACGAUUGAAGGAAUAAAGGAGAUAAUUUUUUUUUUUUUGAAGGAGGAAUAAAGGAGAUAAUUUUUUUUUUUUUGAAGGAGGAAUAAAGGAGAUAAUGAAAGUAUAAACUUAUUAAUGAAAUGUAAUGUUAAACAAUUUAAUGUCGCAAAUGGAAUGUAUGUCUACAUAUGUACACUGCUUGGGCAAUAUCUCAAACUCAAUAUAUAACUCUACCAAAAAAAAAUGUGUUUAAUUUUUUUCUCUUUCUGUGGAUCCAAUCAUUGAAUAGAAACAUUUUUUUUUAUUUUUUAUCAUAAAUCAUUUAUGUAGUUUUCUCUUCGAAUAGUUUGAUUUUCCCAUCAAAAUCUUCAAAGUACAACACUGUUGCAAUGAAGUUGCCUAGGAUUUGAGUAGUUUUCCUUUUUUAUUUUUAUUUUUUACAUUCAGGGCAGCAUGCAUGCUUAUCUUAUUUCUCUUAAGAAACAUCUAAUUAUAUUGAAUGCUUUCAGAUAUUUUGUUAAAUUUGAAAAAUGUUCUUAUAUGUGAAAUGCAUGAAAGGUAUCUACAUUAGUUUAGUUCUACAGAUGAGUGAGAGCCACGGUUGGACUCAAAGAACUUUUGUGUCAAAGAGAAAAAGUGUUCGAGGUAUGGACUUUUUUCCCAUAAGUCCAUACUAAGUGUUAGGAUCAUGCUAUGAGGUAGUGGUAAAAAUUCUUGUUGUUAGAAAAGAAACAAAAAGAUAAUAAUUAAAGUAUAUUUUCCGUCAAAAAAAAAAAUUAAAGUAUAUUUAUUUAAGUAGUAAAGUCUGGAUUUUUACGAAGUUUAUAUAUGAUAACAUGAUUUGAGGUGAUAUGUGAUGAAUGUUAGGUUUUUACUUUUUACUAUGUGUACAUGAUGACAUAAAUUCUAUGUUAUUUCUGAUUAAAUUUUGAAUUGUUAAUAUGUCUGAAAGCAACGAUGUGGGUUUUGAGAAUGCAAGUUCUGUUAUUGUAUAUUGAUUUACUCUUUGUUUGCCUAAGUGGUGGCUACUUUAUUUGACUAGGUUUGUCUCAGUGGCAGGUUAAUAUCAUAUUUCUUUGUGGUGUUUAAGUGGCGGGAUUUAAUUUUCAUUUUCAUGAUCAUGCAUGAUAUAUGCAUUUCUGUGUGGUGCCUUAGUGGCAGGUUUAAAAAUCAGAAAUUCCUUUGUGGUGUUUUAAUGCUGGGCUGAUUAUAUCUUGACCAUGUAAUCUUUAGGAGGAUGCAUCUUUCACAUAAUAUCAUUUUUUUUUUGUCACAAGGCUAAAAAAGAAAAGCAAACAACAAAAAAAAGAAGAAAACUAAGCUCUAGGGAAAUAAGUUCCCAUGGCAUCGUUCUUGAUCAAAGGAAUGAGGUCUUCUGGCGGAGUAACAUAAGUAGUAAACUCUUCAUUAGAUGUGGCUCCUAGCUUUGCAAAUAAAUCGGCACAUUGGUUCCCUUCUCUUAGACAAUGAUGGAUGGAGAAAUUUCUUGUUGAAAAGAGGUCUUUGAUGUCUUGAAUUAGAACAACAUAGGCAUGGAAAUUAGAAGCCUGUUCAGUGACAAGUUUAAUGGCGAGCAUAGAGUCCGAGUAACAAACCAACUCCUCAAUACCUGCUUCCAAAGCCAUUCUAAGACCGUGAUGUAUAGCAGAAAGUUCUGCAAACAAAAUGUUAGAGGUUGCUGCAAGAUAACCUGAGAAUCCCGAGAGAUAAAACCCAGCAGAGUUCCGGAUGAUGCCCCAUAACCAGCUCGAGUAGGAGAUCCCAAACAUCUCCCAUCUACAUUUAACACAACACAAUUGUAGUUAUUGCUGUUCCAACGAACCUGACAGUCUGAAUUAAGAGCAGGCGCGACAUGGAAAAAGUUGUCAAUAGAAGAAGCCGUAUUUUGAAUGUGACAGAGGAUCGUAGUGAUGGACCAUGUAUCAUGGCUAAGGCACAUCUGAUUACGGUGUCUCCACGACCACCACAGACCAGCGAGGAAGGUGGAAGAGUGCGCACCAGUUGCAUUAACUUUGAGCCAGCUGUGCGCAGUUCCUUCAAAAAAGGGAUCUUGGGCAGUAAAACCGAGCUUGAUCCAUAUGAUUUUAGAAAAAUUGCAGUCUUUUAAGCAAUGCAGUAGAGUUUCAUCAUGUUCCCCACAUCUUGAACAUGUUGCAGAGGGAGCAAUGUGGCGGUGGUGAAGCAAAUCAAGAGUAGGUACCAAUUUAGAUAAGGAAAUUGAUCCUUACAAUAAUAUAAUCUAGGGAGUAGUUGAUUAGAAUAAUUUGGUAAAAUAACAUAUCUCUUUCUUCGUUGAUGAUAGGACAUUCACAACUGCUUGUGAGCUUCUUUUCCAAUAGAAGAUGUGGUUGCAAAAGACACCUUGACGGUCAAAUCAGGUUGGGUGCUAGAAGGUAGAAGAUAGGUCAAUUAGUUUUAUAUAUUAGGUAAAAUAGAAUUAAAUUAAAAUUAACAUGUUUAUGUUUUUGCUAGUGUGUGUAUCAAUAUAUAUAUAUAUAUAUAUAUAUAUAUAUAUAUAUAUAUAUAUAUAUAUAUAUNUAUAUAGGGUAAUGUUAGAGACCACACAUCCAUAAAUGAGAAGGGUGUUCAUUAGCAUAUCACACCUAGUUGUAAAAGAAAAAAAAACAUUCUCUUUCUUUAAAAAUAAGUGAAGACAAAAGGGUAAGAUUGUAAUCUAAAAUUAAUUACUAAAAUAUUCUUACUUUCCCUUUUCAUUUCCCGCUUUACCCUACCCUGUUUCCAAAUACUUCUUAAAAAAAAAAUGCUUCCAAAUAAAAUAAAAUAAAUUAGAUUGAGUUAAAUAAAAAAGCCGAUAUUUGUAAAGAAAAAUAAAAUAAAGAGUAUUACAUUAGUGCCGAUCAAUAGGAACACAAAUUUUAUUUUUAAAAGUCAAAGCCAUUUGUACCAAAACAAAAGUCAAAAAAUCACAAGAAUUUUUUUCAUUCUUUACAAAGGCAACAAAAUGAUCGGUUGAUAGCAAGAGAGAGAAAAGGGAUGUAUGUAUGUGAUGAAAUAUCUUUAAGAGUCAUAUCCAUUCAAUCACUAAUGAAGAAAGAGAAAUUGUUUUUUUGUCUUCUACAUCCAAGUGUCGUAUGCUAAUGAACACCUUAUCAUUUAUGGGUGGAUGGUCUCUUUUUUUUUUUUUUUUUUGACAAGUGGGUGGUCUCUAGCUUUACCUGUAUAUAUAAAAUUGACGUAUUAAAACUAAGGUAGUGGGGGUGUGUUUAUUUCUUUUUCUGGUACAUGGUGUUUUUUUCUUGUAACAAAUUAAUGGAGAUUAUGUGUACUCUUUUUUUUUUUUUUUUUUAAAGAUUAUGUGUACUCUUAAAAACCCUAUUUGUUGCAACACGGGUCCAAUAAAUCUGUAAAAUUAAUUGAAAAAAAAUCACGAAGACUUCUACCUCAGAAAAAAAAAAAAAAAUCACGAAGACUUUAUUAGUUUACUCGGUCAUUCUUUAACAUUUAUGUGUAAGGUGGAAUUAACUAAUUUAUAUUUGCAACUUAACAAAUUGUUUAAGGAGAAAACUUAAUUUGUCAAUUUCCUUGGUCAUUCUUUUUUUUUUUUGUCAAGUAGCCUAGUGGCUAGAGCUCACACAAUUUAAUUGUGGAGAAGUGGGGUGUCCGAGGUUCGAACCCCAACCCCUGCAUAUAAUCUGCAAUAUCCCUACUAACUGAGUUAAGCUUACGGGAAUUCCUUAGUCAUUCUUUAACAUCUAUUAAGCAAAAGUGGGACAUAACUAAUUUAUAUUGACAGCGUAACAAAUUGUUUAAAGAGAAGACUUAAUUUGUGAAUUUAUUUGGUCAUUCUUUUAUUGGGAGUUUCUAGUUUGCAAGGAAAUUGACUUUUUUGAAAAA